GUCGAUCCCAGGAUGUGGUGGGGGCCUGGGCCGGGAUGUGACAUCGGUUCCAACCAGAAAAUGUCUUUAAUGUAUCGACACUAUGAUACUAAUGGGGCGAUAACUCAAGCCAAGGAAUGAAGGUCUCAUCAAGAUCCGAACUUAAAUGAGAGAUUAAGCCACAUGAAUGGGAAUCAUGUAUAAUGGUGACUUCGUUAUUCUCAUGGUUGCUUCUAUGGAUAACAUAUAGAUAUCCAUUGUCUAGGCCUAGUACUCAGCCAUUUAUGAAAUGAAUUUAGAAAAGGUAUCAUCACUGAUGACCAAGCUGAUUGGCUCUAGGGCAAGCGGGAGAUUGUUGGAAAUGUGCCCUAAAACCAAUCAUAUGAUGAUACUUUACGGACAUUUCACAUAUUAAACUAAUCUAUUUAAUAUAAAGGGCAAAGAUUAUUAUUUGAAGUGUUCUCACAUAAAUGUUAUAUUCAAGGAAUAUGUAAUUGGGAGAAUGUGAUCUAAAGAAGUUAGAUUCAUGAGACCAUUCGCUUUCGUAUAUAUAUCCUAAACGUUCCUGAUCAUAGGAUUGCCAAUUAAGCAUUAAUAAUCCGUUAAGAUCCGUACAAGUUAUGUCUUCUUUUAGGGAGAGUGACUGGUCUCGAGUCAUUGAUGUGACUGACACCAAGACAAGCAUGUAGGUGCUCAAUAGAAUGAGUCCACUGAACAUGAUCAACAAGGAGUUCUCAUACUCAUGUCACAUGAGAACUCAUGGUUGGGAUAAUGCAAAGUAGUCCUUUGACCUGAGGCAUCAUAGUUGUCUUGUGGUUAGGUCCUUGAUCUUUGACUAUGUCAAAGUCACUCCAUUAGAGGGUGUCCACAACAUAGUUGGGGUUAACCCACUUAGACAUGGAGGCAAGUGAAUGCACAACAAGGGAUCUCUAACCUUCAAAGCGUUUGAAGGAGAAUACUCUAUGAUAUGAUUAAGAAUCUCUGGCCAAAGUAUGAAUGAGAGUUAGGAAGUCGUUCCAAAUCACAUUCAAGGUAAUCAUAUAAGUAAGAGAAUCACAUUGGAUAGUACACAUGAAUAAACUAUCAAACCAAACAAUGUGGUCAAGGGUAUUGUAUUAGAGAAAGGCCGUAUUGCAUUAUAAUCCUAAACUAAAUAGGUUCACCACCUCUUCUAAUUAGCUUGGGUAGCCAUGCCAUAUUGGUAGGUGUCACUCAUGGUUUGUGGAAGCCUUAAAGGUGUAUAAUCACUAAAGGGAGAGUUGAUAGUAAGUUUCAAUUCACAAUUGAUUUGAAGAGUUCUAAUCGCCCACUGCCUCGCUAAAAGGAACCUAAUGGAUCGUACACCGAGUAAGGUAGAGAUUGAAGAAACAAUGGAGAUGAGUAAGGAUAAUUAAAUUGUUUAAUUAUUUAUGGCUAGGAUUAAUUAAUAUGUUAAUUAAUCAAACGAAUAAGUUCGUUAUAGACCUCGGGUUAGUUUUGGGCCGCAAGGCCUAAUGGGAUUUGAAUGUCAAACCCAUUAACUCAAGUUGUAUGACAACUUGAAAUCACAAAGGGCUUGAAAGCCCAAUGAAUCCUUAAGGCCAGCCACGUUAUAGGAUGAAGGGUUUUGGUUCUUUUGUCACUUAAUUGAAGGGACUAAAUAAAUAACUUUAUAAUAUUUCAUCAUUAGGGUUUCUUUUGGAGAAAAGAUGAGAACACAAGCUCCCUUUUCUCUCUAAGAGGCCGACCACCCUAGGGAGAGAUUACUAGCAUCUAAAUCUUCCUAGGUCACUCAUCUUAUCAUCAAUGUUCUCCUUGAUGUGGAGACUUAAAGGUUCCCUUUCUUGGGAACUUGGAGAAUCCAUUCCACCAUCCUCCUCCAUGAAAUCUAUGGAGCAAAGAAGUAAGGAAUGAAGGCCCUAUCUCUUGGGUGAUUAGCCUUUGCUUAUGCAAAGAGGAAUCAACAAAGGUAUAAGAUUUCUUAACUCACUUUGUUUUGAGUUGAGUCUUGGUUCACCAUAAUUACUAGGCUUUGAAUUUCAUGGGUAAAGUUUUGUUUUUGAGUGAAUACAAGCAUGAUUUCGCCUUUAAUUGUUAAUUGCAUGUUGUAGAUGUUGCUCAAAUGAACUAGUUUUCACAAAUAUUUCCUUCAACUAUUGCUAAAAUGACUGAAUCUGGAUGAGUUUCAGCUUUUCUGAAUGCAAAUCUAGCUUGAGAGCAGAGUUUGUAUGUUGUUUGAGUUUGAUUGGUUGAGUGUCCUUGUCUCUAUUGUCUCUCUUGGCUUUUAUAGGCACCUUGGCCCGACAGAUUUACCCUCAUUCUUGGCCCAGGGCUUCUAGGGAUAGUGAGUCAUCUUGUAUUUACACCUUUAUGCCAUCAAAAAGUGCUUUUUCUUUGUUAGUGAGCUGGCCUCUGUCACUUAUCACUUCAAUCAUAGGCACAUGGCCUAUGCCUUGGCUGAGAAGGUUUUAAUUUGCUUCAGGCUUCGUAGGUAGGCUCGGGCAAGUUCAUCUCGUUUUGGCACCUUUGAGCCUCCCUUCGUAGCUGGGUUCAAAUAUUAACCCAAACAACAUUGAGUGUGAGAAAGCGACACGCGUGGAUCUAGUGGGGAGAGUGUAGCCGCAUUGGAAUUUGCGUGUUCGCAACUUGCUGAUGUAUUGUAGAAGGCCAAAUGAAAUGACAUCAUUCACAUGGAAUUAUAUUGGAAGGAAAAGGAUCCUCUUUGUGGGAAUUCGAAGGAUCAAUCAAUCAUUUUCGUUCAUCGUACAUCAUGCGAUUAGUUUUUGUUAGGUACUAUUUAUAUUCAAUUUUAAAUUUUAAAUUUAAAAUGAUUUCUAACUGCACGAUGUACGAUGAACAAACAUGAUUGAUUGAUCCCCCGGAUCCCCACAAAGAGGAUUCGAAGAGGAUUCUUUUCCAUAUUGGAAAGCAUGCAUGCAUAAUGUUACAACACGUAUAUUUUUUUAUUGUAUCUAUUUUGUUUCUGAGUGGGUGCCUUAAUUAAUUUAUCAAGACUCGACUCGAGAAUUUUAUCCUCAUACUUUCUUAAGUUUCUAUUUGGGACCAAAAUAAUGCUUUGGGCCGAGCCUAGAGUUUUUUCUCAGUCCAGAAAGGGAUAUUGGGAAUAUUCUUUCGUGGCCAAGCCUAGUGGAGUUCGGCAGAAUCCUAUUAGGAGAUGGUUUUAUCUGGAUAGGGGUUAGGUGAUCAAAUCCUAAUGCAAUGAGGAUUUUGGAAAAUUAAGGAUGUUUUGAGUAAAAAAAGAUGUUGAGAAUCAAGGGAUAAAUCUAGGUGAUUAAAUAGUUUGGUUCAGAGUCCUAUAGGGGUUAGGAUUGGUUGAGACCUGAUGAGAUUGGGUUGAGGAAUUCUAAUCCAAGUGGAAUUCUAUCUCGAUCAUGAAGGAUAACAUUACUAUAAAUAGACAGGGGAAUGCAUCAUUGAAAGCCCUCCAAUUCAACACACAACUGCCCUAUGCAAACCUCUCAAACAUCUUGAGAUUUUUAUUUUAUAUUUUCUGCCAACACAUCUUUAGUUUGGAUAAAUAGCACUAUGGAGGCAACCGGCAACAUCUUCAGUUUGGAUAAACAACACUGGAGUCAUAGAAUUAGUCGAUUGAGGAACACAUUCAGUUUGGAUAAACAACACUGCUUCGAGACUGAUUGGUUAUUUAUCCAAAUCUCGGUCAACAAGGAUUUUCGAGUCCUUGUUGGUAGAGGUCAUCUCAUCAGCCUUCUCGGCGAAGUGAGAUGUUACCAGGUUACUACAUUCAGCACAUUGAAAGUCGAAUUUAAUAUUUAACUUCACAGAACUAGCAGCCUUGUCUUCAGGCUCUAAAAUUCAAAGGCCAAGAUGGUUCCUUCCUCGGUCAUAGUUGCGAGAUCAAGAAGUCAGCAGGGCCCCCACAUCAACAUAGUUUACUACCUGGCCAUACCUGACCGAUGAGUUGGCAUGCUCCGCAUUUAACCGAAGAACGUAGUUAGCUUAUUAAUUACUCAACCUACGCGCCACGUAGGCUAAGUAGUUUUUAGGGUCAACAUUUUGGCACACCCAGUGGGACCCAAUGCUAAAGCUACGAAGUUCAUGACCAUUGAAACACGGUCAAUCAAAAAGAAAAUAACUAUGGGCAAGUCGACCACCAAUUUAGCACCUAUAGUUCAGAGUCUAGUACAAAGUAAGUGCCAUAGGCACAUAAUCCUCCUGUUACCAUGAUGCCUGAAGCUACGGGUACAGCGCACUAGGAAAAGGAAGUUAAUCUCGGCGGUGAGAGUCAUGAUGCCAUAGUCUUCACCCAGACUACCAAGACGGCAAAAUAUGGUUUAUUGAAGGUCUGGUAGAGGAUUGCGAUGAUGAUGAUGAGAUCUUUGGUCCACCAUCUAAAUCUUUCCUCUGGUGACGAUUGAAAGGAUCUCAGCAGUUUGAGCAAAUAUUUGGCCGAGAGGUGAAAAGCAUACUUGAAGAAGUACGUGAUAAUGAUGCUUUGAAUAAUAAGUUUCUCGAAAUUAUAGUUACCAACAACGCUCACGAGAAUGAGCUCAUCCAUCGACCCAGGCAUCUUCCCCUUUUAAAGAAUACUCCUUUGGCAGGUGAAAGAUUGUUGUCGGUACAGGCCUAACCAGGACUUGCUCAGCCCAAGACGAUUGAUCUUAAGAAAAUAUAUGGUGAGCCAAGCAUUGUCAUCUGAGGUGUUCAGCCUAUAGUAACUGGCCGAACUUCAACCUUAAACAAGCGAUCCAUUAUCAACCGAGAAAUAAACCCUCGACCUGCACUUUGUGGUUGAUCAAAAGAUCCUUGCAAAAACGAAUAUUUUCUAUCCACUCAAAUGCAUUUAUAUGCACGAUCUCCCACUAUAUGCCAGUCCUUGAUAAUCGUAACUGUUUGACACGUGACGCCUUCUUGUCAUGACUACCUGGAUUCGGCAACACACGUGCCACAUGCUCGAGGCGUGUAGACAUUGAAAUAUCUCUUCAUAAUGAUCAUGCCUUAAAGUUCACCAUCACAUGCAAUCGUGCA
rnacentral:lncRNA from 1 species